rnacentral:rRNA from 1 species
UCCGAUUGAUCCCGUCGGACCCCACUGCUAUCGAGAUGGGACUAAGGUAUGCUAGUCGAACGACCAGAACUAUGUCUGGAAGUGGCACACUGCUCAGUAACACGUAGCUAACCUACCCUUAGGACGUGGAUACCCCCGAGAAAUUGGGGUUAAUCCGCGAUAGAUGUAAUGUCCUGGAAUGGUAUUACGUCUAAAGGUAUUUCAUACAUGUUUGAAAUAUGCCUAAGGAUGGGGCUGCGGCCGAUCAGGCUGUUGGUGAGGUAAUGGCUCACCAAACCUUUGACCGGUACGGGCCAUGAGAGUGGUAGCCCGGAGAUGGACACUGAGACAAGGGUCCAGGCCCUAAGGGGCGCAGCAACCGCGAAACCUCCACAAUGCACUCACGUGCGAUGGGGCUAUCUCGAGUGCCACCUGAUGAAGGUGGCUUUUCCUUGGUCUUCAAAGCCUUGGGAAUAAGAGGGGGGCAAGACUGGUGUCAGCCCCGCGGUAACACCAGCCCCUCGAGUGGUGGGGAUGAUUAUUUGGCCUAAAGCGUCCGUAGCCGGCCGAGCAAGUCUUCCGUUAAAUCCAGCGUCUCAAGCGUUGGACCGCGGGAGAUACUACACGGCUAGAGAGUGGGAGAGGUCAGCGGUAUUCUGGGGGUAGGGGCGAGAUCCUUUGAUCCCCGGAGGACCACCAGUGGCGAAGGCUGCUGACUAGAACACGUCUGACGGUCAGGGACGAAAGCUGGGGUAGCGAACCGGAUUAGAUACCCGGGUAGUCCCAGCCGUAAACGAUGCAUGCUAGGUGUUGGGUUGGCCACGAGCCACCCCAGUGCCGCAGGGAAGCCGUUAAGCAUGCCGCCUGGGAAGUACGAUCGCAAGAUUGAAACUUAAAGGAAUUGGCGGGGGAGCACCACCAGGCGUGAAGCCUGCGGUUUAAUUGGAGUCAACGCCGGGAACCUUACCGGGAGCGACAGCAGAAUGAAGGCCAGAUUGAAGAUCUUGCCAGACGAGCUGAGAGGAGGUGCAUGGCCGUCGCCAGUUCGUGCCGUGAGGUGUUCUCUUAAGUGAGAUAACGAACGAGACCCGUGCCACAUGUUGCCACCAGUAUCUAAAGGAUAGCUGAGCACUCUUGUGGGACCGCAGCCGAUAAGGCUGAGGAAGGUACGGGCAACGGCAGGUCAGUAUGCCCCGAAUCUCCCGGGCCACACGCGGGCUGCAAUGGUACAGACAGAGGGCUGCCACCCCGAAAGGGGGAGCCAAUCCCUAAACUGUACCUCAGUUGGGAUCGAGGGUUGCAACCCACCCUCGUGAACAUGGAAUGCCUAGUAACCGCCAGUCAUCAUCUGGCGGUGAAUACGUCCCUGCUCCUUGCACACACUGCCCGUCGAACCACCCGAAUGAGGUUUGGGUGAGGAAAGGUCGAAUGUUGGCCGUUUCGAACCUGGGCCUCGUAAGGAGGGUUAAGUCGUAACAAGGUG